AUUAUUAAAAGAAUUAUGAAAAAUCAUGACUGAUGUCAAAGUUAUGUUUGAUUUUGCCAAUUUUGUGUUGAUAUUUAAUAUACAUGUACUUACAUGCUCAUAAGUGUUGACAUUUGUUUUUGAACAUAAUAGUUUUUUAUGUUUUAUAUCGUGUAUAUACACAUUUACAGGUCCAAAUUUUCAUCCUCUCAAUCACUCAGUAACUUUACCAACAAUAAAUGUUGGAUCUCUGUAUAUAGGUAAAUUGUGCAAUUGAUAUAUAGAGCAACUGCAACAAAUCAGUCAGUUACAAAUCAAGGCAGAGUGAUGUAAUAUGCUGGCAAUUGUUAAGUAGUGCAGUUGUCUCUUUUUGUUCUCAGGUUAGAGCAAUGUUGUUUGCUUCAAAAAUAAAAACACAGUCUCCCUUGUAAGAAAAUUAAUGGGUUCACAUCUCAACAUUACAAGUAAGUUCAUAGAGAAAAUCAAAUUAUUUACAUGAUAUACUCGACAAUUAGUCUAAUGGAAUUUGUAGAAUAAAAAAUAACAUGUAAUUAUGACGAUUAUAAGUGAAUGUUUGACACAAAAUGUCUCUUCAGAAAUGUGUAUAUUUUAAUGAUAAAUCUAUACAUUGUACUUGCUGUACUUUUUAUAGUAUAUUUUAUGAACAUGCAGCUGAUAAGUGAAUGUGACAAUUUACGAGUUAUGUUACAAUUUGUUACACGUUGACAUGGCCACAUAAGCUGUUAAUGGAGUGCAUUCACUGCGGCCAGUUUCCAGAAAUCUCCCAAUUAAAAAACACCAGAAAAUAUCUUAAGAUCAGAUAGUUUGGUUGUUCACAUUAGUUUUGAUUUAUUUAUUGAUUGUGUUAUGCCUUGUACUCUUAAUUUGUUAUCAAAUAUUUAAGUUUAUAUGACUUGAAGAGACUUACAUGUUUAUUUUAUUGAUGUGUUUGUGCUGAUUUCUUGCAUUCUGAUUAAAGAAUAUUCAAGUGGAAAAAGAAUAUUAUUAUGCAUUGAAAGUGUGUUGUGAUUUCAAAUAAAAAUACUAUGAAAAUAUAGUUCAGUCGUUUGAUUACAAAGUUAUUACAAAGGUGAUCAAUUGCUCAUCAAGUGUAGGUGUUUGCAUACGGACAUAAUAUGUCUGUGCUUUAUAUGUAUAUAAUGUAGAUCCCCAUUUACCAGAACAUAUUUUGAUGUGCUUAAAUGUGCUAAUAGCCUGAUGAAAUUCGUGUUGACUAUGCGUUUUACAUUUUGCCAUUUUUAUUUAAAAAAUGAAAAACAAAUGAAUUGUCAGUGUAAAUAAAUACUGUAUUGUUGUUCAAUCAGUUAAACUAUUUCACUGUUUUCAUGCAUAUGUUCAAAUCAUUUUCAUUUUUGUUCAAUCUUUAAGAUGCAACGCUUGUGUAAUUUACUUUAUGAAACUUAUAUAUACACAAAAAUGUAGUACAAAUGUAUAUCAAAUGACUGCUGUGGGCUUGUGGUAAACAGAAAACCAUGCUUUAAAUUAAAAAACCUUGUUAUAUGCCAUGUUUUUCAUUUAAUAAUAUUAAAAGCACUCUUGAAAUUGAACUUCUUGAAAAUAUGUUUCAUUGUUUUGUAAAAAUAUCUUAAGUUAUCUAUUCUAAAUUAUCUAUUCUUAUAUAAGAAAUACAAAUUAAAAUUGGUUAUUGGAAAUAAGUCAAUUAAAAGUCAAGGGAUAAUGAUGUAAUGUACUUAAAAAUGUCAAAACUGCUAUUGUCUCUAUUUGUAUUCUAGAUAUGUUAUAUCCUUAAACAAACAAAUACAAUGUUGUCUCCUUGUUGAAUAGGUGUUGUGUACCUCUGAACAUGUCAAGUCAUUUACUUUAAGUAUUUUAAAUUAGUUCUCACUAUCUGCACCCGUAAGUCACUCAUGAAUUUUGUGUAAUAAACAUUGGAUAAAUAUAUUUUUAUAUAAUCAAUUAUAAGAUAAGGUGAAAAGUGUAUGAGCGUUAUUAGUUAUAAACAUUGGAUAAAUAUAUUUUUAUAUAAUCGAUUAUAAGAUAAGGUAAAAAGUGUAUGAGCGUUAUUAGUAAUAAACAUUGGAUAAAUAUAUUUUUAUAUAAUCGAUUACAAGAUAAGGUGAAUAGUGUAUGUGCGUUAUUAUAUUCAUCAGGUAUGACCAUACUGUGCUACAAGUUUUGUAAUUGUGACUAUUAAAAGUACAUGAUCUGCAAAAAAUGUCACUUAAACAAAUGUGUAUAUGUUUAUCAUUAUUAAAUUCUUUCCAACUA